CCUACGGGAGGCAGCAGUGGGGAAUAUUGCACAAUGGGGGAAACCCUGAUGCAGCGAUGCCGCGUGAGUGAAGAAGUAUUUCGGUAUGUAAAGCUCUGUCAGCAGGGAAGAAAAUGACGGUACCUGAUUAAGAAUCCCCUGCUAACUACGUUCCAGCAGCCGCGGUAAGACGGAGGGGGCAAGCGUUAUCCGUAUUUACUGGGUGUAAAGGGAGCGUAGACGGCAGACCAAGUCUGGAGUGAAAUGCCGGGGCUUAACCCCGGAACUGCUUUGGAAACUGGGCAGCUAGCGUGCCUGAGAGGUAAGUGGAAUUCCGAGUGUAGGGGUGAAAUGCGUAGAUAUCAGGAGGAACACCAGGGGCGAAGGCGGCUUACUGGACUGUAACUGACGUUGAGGCUCGAAAGCGUGGGGAGCAAACAGGAUUAGAUACCCCGGUAGUC
rnacentral:rRNA from 1 species